rnacentral:rRNA from 1 species
UACACAAUGCAGUCGAGGGAGAAAGAGGCUUCGGCCUUGAGUACACCGGCGAACGGGUGCGUAACACGUGGGCAACCUACCCUUCAGCGGGGGACAACAGUUCGAAAGGACUGCUAAUACCGCAUACGUCGGCGGGGACUUCGGUUCCUGUCGGGAAAGACGGCUCUCCAUGGAAGCUGUCACUGAAGAUGGGCUCGCGUCCCAUCAGCUAUUGGUGAGGUAACGGCUCACCAAGGCAUAGACGGGUAGCUGGUCUGAGAGGAUGAUCAGCCACACUGGGACUGAGACACGACCCAGACUCCUACGGGAGGCAGCCAGUGGGGAAUAUUGGGCAAUGGGCGCAAGCCUGACCAGCACGCCGGUGAGUGAUGAAGGCCUUCGGGUCGUAAAGCUCUGUGGGGAGAGAAGAAUAAGCCGGGGGAACAAUACCCCCUGGUCUUGACGGUAUCUCCUUAGCAAGCACCGGUAACUCCGUGCCAGCAGCCGCGGUAAUACGGAGGGUGCAAACGUUGCUCGGAAUUAUUGGGCGUAAAGCGAACGCCAGGCGGUCCGAUAAGUCGGAUGUGAAAGCCCUCGGUUUACCGAGGAAGGUGCAUUCGAACUGCCGGACUUGAGUUACCAGUAGAGCGGUCGCGGGAAAUUCCCGGUGUCCGAAGGGUGGAAACUUCCGAAGAAUUAUCCGGGAGGGACCACCAGGUGGCGAACGGCGGGCGAACCUGGGGUUGGACACUUGGACGCU